GAUUAAAGGCGUGCACCACCACCACCACCACCACCACCGGCUGUUUCCACACUUUUCAAUAAUGGGAGAAAGACUGAGAUAAAUAUUCUUUUGAAAUGUGUCAUUCACUUUCCUGAAAUAGUUUGGUGGAGGUGAAAUUCAGAAUGUUAGUUCAAGUGUUACAGCUUUAACUCCAUCAUCUCUGGGGUAAAGAGAAUUAUGACUGUUUUACAAUGUUUCUAGCUUCUAAGUCCCAGAGCAUGUGAGCCAGGGAAGGAAUUAAGGGCAUGAAAGUCAGACAGGGGCAGAGGAGGGUCAGGCCUCAGGGUGCUGAACUGAGUGAUGAUGCACACGAGUGCGGGCACAAAGCAGGGGCUGGCUAUCUGACAGGUGUUGGGCACUGAGCUAUUGCAAGAAUCCUUCCUCUUGGAGCCAGGCAGGUGAGUUGAGGGCGUAGGGCUCAGGAAGUUAUCAAUCUGACAGGUGUCAGGACUCUGAAUGAUCACUAGCUUCCUCUCUCCUGGAGCAAUGCAGGUGAGUUUAAUGCGCAUGGCGGCAGCUGUCAGUGUGACAGGUGCUAAGAUGCCACUGACAUCCUCCUCCUUGCUCCCUCAUGUGAGUGCAUGGCAGCAGCUGUCAAACGGACAGGAUUGAGGCGCUGAGCAGUUACUAGCUAUUCUCCCUCCUGGACUCUCAUAUGUGAGCGCAGGGUAGCAGCUGAAAGUCUGCGCUGAGCAUCCUUCCUUCUUCUUGGAACAAGGCAGAUGAUCAUAGGUCGCAGGGCAGCAGCUAUCAGUCUGACAGGACUCCGGGCGCUGAGCUGUUAUUAAUCCUCCUGGACCUUUAUGUGAGCGCAGGGUAGCAGCUGGAAGUCUGACAGGUAGUCUGGUCGCUGAGCAUCCCUCCUCUUACAGCAAGGCAGAUGAGCAUAAAGUGCAGGGCAGCAGCUGCUAAUCUGACAGGAUUCGGGGUGCUGAGCUGUCACCAGCAUUCUCCCUCCUGGACCAUCAGGUGAACUUAGGACUGUAGUCCAUGCCUCCCGCCCUUGAGCUCCCUGUCUGGCGCGACGCGGUGCCCCAGAAAGGAUACAGAGAGGCAAAGACAAGGGAAUACAGCCUAUGCAGCUGUCACUGCCGCUACCGCGCCUGCGCGCUGGCUCCCUGUUCGCGCUCGCACUGUCAAUAAAGUUCUCGCGCGCCGGAAGCGGAAGCGGCGGGUCUCCAUGGCGGCGCCGGCAGCGGGCCCGGUGUUCUGGAGGCGGCUGCUGGGCCUGCUGCCUGGCAGGCCCGGGCUGGCCGCGCUCCUGGGCCGCCUCUCCGACCGUCUGGGCAGGAGCCGGGAGCGCCGGCGCCGGAGGUCACCAUGGCUGUUAUUGGCUCCCUUGCUGUCCCCAACCGUUCCUCAGGUCACCUCCCCACCUUGCUGCCUAUGUCCCGAGGGUGUACACAGGUUCCAGUGGAUCAGAAACCUGGUUCCAGAGUUUGGAGUCUCCAGCUCUCAUGUCAGGGUACUGUCUUCCCCUGCAGAGUUCUUCGAGCUCAUGAAGGGGCAGAUAAAAAUAGCCAAGAGGCGAGUUGUGAUGGCAUCCCUCUACUUGGGGACAGGACCUUUGGAACAGGAACUGGUGGAUUGUCUGGAAAGUUCUCUAGAAAAGUCACUCCAAGCGAAGUUUCCUUCCGACCUCAAGGUCUCCAUUCUCCUGGACUUCACCAGAGGCUCAAGAGGUAGGAAGAACUCUCGCACUAUGCUGCUCCCACUCCUGCAGAGGUUUCCAGAGCGCGUGCGCGUCUCCCUCUUCCACACACCAAACCUCCGAGGACUCCUCCGACUCCUUAUCCCUGAGCGCUUCAAUGAGACCAUCGGCCUCCAGCACAUCAAGGUGUACCUCUUUGACAACAACGUCAUCCUGAGUGGUGCAAACCUGAGUGACUCAUACUUCACCAACCGCCAGGACCGCUACGUGUUCUUGCAGGACUGCGCUGAGAUUGCCGACUUCUUCACAGAGCUGGUGGACGCCGUGGGGGAUGUAUCCUUGCAGUUGCAGGGCGACGACACAGUGGAGGUUGUGGAUGGGAUGGUGCACCCUUACAAAGGUGACCGGGCUGCGUACUGCAGAGCAGCGAACAAGCGGGUCAUGGACGUCAUCCACUCGGCCAGGGCCCGGCAGCAGAUGCUGCACGCACAGACCUUUCACAGUGAUUCUCUGCUGAGCCAGGAAGAGGCUGCAGCUGCCGGGGACCGGAGGCCAGCGCCCGACACCUGGAUUUACCCACUGAUCCAGAUGAAGCCCUUUGAGAUUCAGAUUGAUGAGAUAGUCACGGAGACGCUGCUGACGGAGGCUGAGCGCGGAGCUAAGGUCUUCCUCACCACUGGCUACUUCAACCUGACCCAGGCCUACAUGGACCUGGUGCUAGGCACUCGAGCUGAGUAUCAGAUCCUUCUAGCCUCACCGGAGGUGAAUGGCUUCUUUGGGGCUAAGGGCGUGGCGGGCGCCAUCCCAGCCGCCUAUGUGCACAUUGAGCGACAGUUCUACAGUGAGGUGUGUAGCCUGGGGCAGCAGGAUCGGGUCCAGCUCCAGGAAUACUGGCGCAGGGGUUGGACCUUUCAUGCCAAAGGAGCAAGAGCAGCUCUACCUGCGGUCUGGUGUGGUGACCUCCGCAACCUUUGAGCAGCCAGGGCGGCAGGUCAAGCUGUGGGUGAAGAUGGUGACCCCGCUAAUCAAGAACUUCUUCUGAGAACAGGAAUGGCCUUGAUGAAGAUGACGGGCAUGACUGGGGUCAGAUCCUUCAACCGGGCUUCAGCAAUGACUCCGGUCUGGGUGUCCCAGCGAGCUCCUGUGGGGACAAUGGAGCUGAGGGUCUGGGUGCCCUAGGGGAGGCAGAACCCACUGUUUGGAUGCUGACCGUGAAAAAGGGAGGCACGGUAGGGAGAGAGGCCUGGCCUCCAACCUCCCCACUCUUUUCAGAGACAGGCCAGUGACUGGGAGCCAUGAAGCGUUCAGGCCAGGUGCCAGGGUCUGAGAGUGCCAAACAUGGAGGAGUGUGAACCAAGGACUCCGAGGUGACUCUGCAUGCCGUAAUGGCUCUGAGGCUGCAUCUUCUCAGAGCUUCAUCUCAGCCUUCUCAAUGUCAGUGGCAGAGAAAACUGACCGCAGCUCAGAUCCCAGCAAUGUUCCUUCCUGAUCCCUCCUGUGUAAUGUCUACUCUCUGUGUACAUAGGGAAUAAGUUAUAUAUAGAUGCACAUAUAAACACUAUCUGCCCUUAGCCAGACUGCUGUUGUCUCUUAUCCUAGCCAAUGGUGUUUGUGUCCUGCGUGGCAUUGGAAUCACAAUAAACAUGGAGAAUGGC